rnacentral:RNase_MRP_RNA from 1 species
GUGUGGUGACAAGAAGUACAUUCGGAAUUACAUUACCAGUCUUUAUGACUGAAUUAUUCUGAGCGAAAGUCCCUGGGUCAUUGAACUGAAAGAGUUGCAGCGUAAAAGCUGUUAAGCGACUUUAGAAUUUCUGUUCACAGGUAUGAUAUGUCAUGAAACAUGUCUUGUGUGGAGCAUUCAUGCUUGGUGUCGUUUUCACCGAAAGCAAAGUGACGUACAAAUCUAACAGCAUAGGGCUCACUCUGUCGGCCACC